GCAGCACGGGGGCAACCCUGGUGGCGAGUGGCGAACGGGUGAGUAAUACAUCGGAACGUGCCCAGUCGUGGGGGACAACGUAGCGAAAGCUACGCUAAUACCGCAUACGAACUGAGGUUGAAAGCGGGGGAUCGCAAGACCUCGCGCGAUUGGAGCGGCCGAUGGCAGAUUAGGUAGUUGGUGGGGUAAAGGCUCACCAAGCCGACGAUCUGUAGCUGGUCUGAGAGGACGACCAGCCACACUGGGACUGAGACACGGCCCAGACUCCUACGGGAGGCAGCAGUGGGGAAUUUUGGAUUGGGGUAGCAAGCCUGAUCCAGCCAUUCCGCGUGCAGGAUGAAGGCCCUCGGGUUGUAAACUGCUUUUGUACGGAACGAAACGGCUCUGGUUAAUACCCGGGGCUAAUGACGGUACCGUAAGAAUAAGCACCGGCUAACUACGUGCCAGCAGCCGCGGUAAUACGUAGGGUGCAAGCGUUAAUCGGAAUUACUGGGCGUAAAGCGUGCGCAGGCGGUCUUGUAAGACAGGUGUGAAAUCCCCGGGCUUAACCUGGGAACUGCAUUUGUGACUGCAAGGCUGGAGUGCGGCAGAGGGGGAUGGAAUUCCUGCGUGUAGCAGUGAAAUGCGUAGAUAUGCGGAGGAACACUCGAUGGCGAAGGCAAUCCUCCUGGGCCUGCACUGACGCUCAUGCACGAAAGCGUGGGGAGCAAACAGGAUUAGAUACCUCUGGUAGUCUACGUCUCUAAACGAUGUCAACUGGUUGUUGGUCCUUCACUGGAUCAGUAACGAAGCUAAC
rnacentral:rRNA from 1 species